GACCGGAGCUGUUCCUAUUUGGCCAUCUUGGCUCCUCCCCCGACAAUUUCUAAUCAAGGCCAUGAAGCUACAGAUGGUCUUACAAAUGGAACCCCAAAUGAGCUCAACUAACAACUUCUACUGAGGACCCCUGGACCGACCCACUGGCCCUUUCACUGGUCUAAAGAGUUCCCCUCUGGAGGACACUACAACUGCAGGGCCCCUUCUUUGCCCCUCUCUGGCAGGAAGUAGCUAGAGCGGUCAUCGUCCAAUUCCCAAAAGCAGUUGAGAAAAAGUCAUAAGAUCAGCAAGAAGAGAAACUGUAGAUUUGCCUCAACUCAACAUGUUAAGUAAUCGCCUGACAUCUACAUAAGACCACCUCUUGGCACCUGGCUACACAAGCUGAAAUGGUAAAACUCCUUGAGAAACCACACAAGGAUGGAAUACUUGCUUAGAGACAUGAGAGUAGCCUAGAAUCUAAGAAUCUGUACUUCCUUCUACAGUUGUCUUUGGAAAAAGAAUAGACAUUCAUGGCAGACCAAAGAUCACUCUCUGAAGGUGUUAUGUGAGAAAUCCACACAGGAGAAACCCAAGAAAACCACGCAGGUAAAUGCUAGCCUGGAAAGACAGAGGGAAAACAUGCCAAGUGGAGCCCACCACAAGGACAGCAGUCAGAGCCCAAGAGCCCAGCUUUAAAAGG
rnacentral:lncRNA from 1 species